CUUUUUUGGUAACUAACCAUUGCAGGUCUCCACCGUCACUUCGUCGCUUCACUCUCCUUGCCACUUCUGUUGCGAAAUCGCUCAAAAGGGUUGCAGAAAUGUAGAUUCGACGCUUGAUUAUGCAAAACUAUGUUAAAUCUCCAAGUAAUGACAAACUUCAAGGAUUCUUGAAUUCUUGAAUCGUUCAAAAGAGUCGCAGAUAUGUAGAUUCGACACUUGAUUAUACUGAAAAACUAGGUUAAAUUUCUUUGCUGUUGACAAACUUCAAGGAUUCCUGAAUUCAAGAAUUCAAGAGUUUUAAGUCCAAGAAUACGGCGACAUCAAGAGAUAUUCAAGAAAUUGUUUCCAAGAUUUCAUCAGAUAAGGCCAAAGCUCGGGAAGUAUUUUAUGCUUUAUUUAUUGGGGUUUAUGAUUCUUCUGUUGUCUUCGUUCUUUAUUGUCUUACGUUUGUUUCGAAAUUUCUUUAAGAAGGAAUAAAGGUGUUGAAUAAUUGGUUGGAGGGGGAAAGAUCGUUUGGCUUCUGCAAGAUUUUAAGCCAGAACAUGCAAAUCGUUAACCAAACGAGAUUCCUCACCGCAAGUGUGAACACAGCAACCAAAGUUUGCCUCAGUUGAAUAACAUAACAAUCUUCAAAUACUGAAAUACUAAGCAUGGAUAUGUUUACUGAGGUUCAAGACAUUCUUGGUUAUGUAUCUAUUUAUUGUUUUUAGAAUUUCAUGCGCAAUCGAAUGGUUUUGACCAACUAUGCCUGUGAAUGAUUGCAGGUGUUGGUAGAAAGAUGCAAAUAUUUGGAAGAAAGCAAUGUGUGGGAAUUUGUUUAAAUACAUAUAAGCUGCCGACACAGCUAUAACAUGGCCAUUCCUUGUAACAUUGCUCAUACAAUGUAUCGCCUUAGAGAUGUCUACAUGCAAAAGGUGAACUCCAAAGUUGCUUUCUCCAAAAAUCCUUCGAAUUGCCAUCCAAUGAGCAUAGAGGAUGCAAAGUUUUCGGGACUCGACAUUCAAAGAGAAUGCUGAAGAAAGCUCCCAUUUUGUUUAUAAACUGGGCUUGUCUAAGCUGCAGUGUUGCCUCUUGAUGAAUGGCCUCAUCUUUGAGUCCAGUGAGGAUUUCUCUAAAAUGUGUAGAUUUUGUCUAUCUAUUUAUGCUAUACCUCAGAGAUUUCCUGGAACAGUGUUUGGCAUAUUGUUGUGAUUGAUGAUGAAGGAACUUUAUUGCUUGAAACAAUGGGUAUAAGGUGCACACAAUGAAAGGUUCUUCUACCCCUUGUGCAAUCUGAUUUGUGAAUUUCAAAUUCGAGGAACAAUAGAAGUGCUAAGUGCCAUUUGCUACAUACAUAUGUACUUCUAUACGUAAAUAUACAUUCUUACGCAUGUAUAUCAACCCAAUAUAAAUACAGGGCUGUGGUUUGACAUCAAUUUUUACUUUAGAGGUGCCACUAUUCCAAACCUCUGUCCUAUCCCCAGAAAAGAUGGAAAAACAAACUGCUCCAGAUAGAACCAUAUUCUUUGGUCAGGAAGUCAGUCUCAUGAAAGUAAGUUACCAGCAUUAUACUUUUGAGGAUUAUUGGGAACCCUGUGAAUCGUCCAUGCUUGGCUCUUUGGUCACGAAGUCAUAGUCUCAUAGAAGGAAGAUACCAGCAAUAGAGCUUUCAAGGAUUAUUGGGAACACCUGUGAAUUGUCCCUGCCUGGUAUUAUUUUAUAUGAUCAUCUGACAGCUUAACCACCCAAGGCUAAAGUUCAGUGUGGAAAGUACUUCAUGGCAAGACACCUAUUCCUAUAUUACUCAAUCAACGGGGAUGCAAUUUUAACUCUCAAUGCCCCUUUUGUCAUUCUGCAAAUAUGUCUCAGGAUCAUCUAUUCCUGUCAUGCUGACGCAUACACUUUGGAAAUCAGUUGGAUUCCAUUUUAUGCGCAUUUCUUCUUCUUCUUCUCUCCAUGACUGGAUCUCAUCUAUUUUGGCAUUAAGGAUUCCCAAAAGAUUGAAGGACUGGUUAUCAGCCCCAAUGACAAGUGUUAUCUGGAAUUUAUGGAUUGCUUAUCUUGAUGCUACAUUAGAAGUUCCAUUCCAACCAUUCAGUCAUUGGCUUAUCAAUGCAACCAAUUUACUCAAGAUUUUUAUCGACCUCAUUGUGCAUCCAACUCAGUUUCUGUGCUGAAUAUUAAAUGGGAUCCUCCAUCAUCUAGUUUUUUGAAGUUUAACGUGGAUGGCUCCUCCCUUGGGUGUCCUGGAUCUGCUGGUUUUGGUGGAGAGUACUGAGGGAUGACAAAGGUGCCUUUCUUUUGGGGUUUGCUGGUUCUGCAGGUAUUUCUUAUGCCUUCGUCGCUGAAGCCUUGACGGUUCGCCAAGCUUUUCUGUUGUUGUUAAUCGACGUUUUCGUUCCAUCAUUGUUGAGAGUGAUAACUUAAUGGUGAUCAAUCUUCGUAAGCAUCAUUCAACGAAUGUUCCCUGGAGAAUCAUUCAGAUUUUAGAGGAUUGUCUUCACCUUGUUUCUCAUUUCGACAGCGUAAUGUUUCAGCACUGUCAUCGCGAAGGAAAUUUUGUUGCAGAUUCUCUAGCUACUUUUGGUCGUAAUUCUACUGAUUUGGUUGUUUGGGAGUCCUCUCCCCCUGCUUUUAUUUCGCCUCUCCUUUUCAAAGAUCGUGAUGGGUACACUCGACAUCGCUUUGUUUCUUCUAGAGCUGCUGAUGCUCUUUUAGUAUAA